GGAGAAUGCCUGAUAAAGGGUUAUUUUGAUGUAAUAAACUAUGUUUCUUUUUUGAAACUUCUCUUAC
rnacentral:tRNA from 1 species